GACGAACGCUGGCGGCGUGCUUAACACAUGCAAGUCGAACGGAAAGGCCCUGCUUUUGUGGGAUGCUCGAGUGGCGAACGGGUGAGUAACACGUGAGUAACCUGCCCUUGACUUUGGGAUAACGUCAGGAAACUGGGGCUAAUACCGGAUAGGAGCUCCUGCUGCAUGGUGGGGGUUGGAAAGUUUCGGCGGUUGGGGAUGGACUCGCGGCUUAUCAGCUUGUUGGUGGGGUAGUGGCUUACCAAGGCUUGGACGGGUAGCCGGCCUGAGAGGGUGACCGGCCACAUUGGGACUGAGAUACGGCCCAGACUCCUACGGGAGGCAGCAGUGGGGAAUAUUGCACAAGGGGCGGAAGCCUGAUGCAGCAACGCCGCGUGCGGGAUGACGGCCUUCGGUUUGGAAACCGCUUUCGCCUGUGACGAAGCGUGAGUGACGGUAAUGGGUAAAGAAGCACCGGCUAACUACGUG
rnacentral:rRNA from 1 species